rnacentral:rRNA from 1 species
AUUGAACGCUGGCGGCAUGCCUUACACAUGCAAGUCGAACGGCAGCGGACCUUCGGGUGCCGGCGAGUGGCGAACGGGUGAGUAAUAUAUCGGAACGCACCUUUCAGUGGGGGAUAACGUAGCGAAAGUUACGCUAAUACCGCAUAUUCUGUGAGCAGGAAAGCAGGGGAUCGCAAGACCUUGCGCUGAUUGAGCGGCCGAUAUCAGAUUAGCUAGUUGGUGAGGUAAAGGCUCACCAAGGCGACGAUCUGUAGCGGGUCUGAGAGGAUGAUCCGCCACACUGGAACUGAGACACGGUCCAGACUCCUACGGGAGGCAGCAGUGGGGAAUUUUGGACAAUGGGCGCAAGCCUGAUCCAGCCAUGCCGCGUGAGUGAAGAAGGCCUCGGUUGUAA